rnacentral:lncRNA from 1 species
ACACACACACACACACACACACACACACACACACACACACACACACACACACACACACACACACACACACACACACACACACAGCUGCCACCACUAUUAAACAAGUGUUGUCCUAAUAUCUCUGUUUUCAUCUCUAAUUGAAGUUUAUGUUAGGAUCUAUGUUAGUAUUUUAGCAUUGAUGAUUAACGCACAGGAUGACGCAGAGAAACUCAAGGCAUCAGCAAAGGGUAGCUGGAAUUAUGGAGGCAUUUGUUUAGUUAAGACUGGAAUGUAAAUAUCAUGUAUUACUGUAGAGAUUGUUGAAUAUCUCCUGAGUUUCCCUAAAGCAGAUUUCAUUCUUAUUUUUCAUACAAAGUCUUCCACAUAUGUUGGGUAACAGACAUGAGCUGAGGGAUGAGAGGGUGUGUCAUCAUCAUGUUCAUGAGUUACAUUGUGAGUUCCAGUGGUAAUUAUUAUUUUUCCAUUAUUUGCGGCCAAGAUUGUGGCAGUUACGAAAUGUGAUAACAGGAGGCUUUGAUGCCUUACCUAACAGUCAGUCUCUUGUACCUGAUUUUAUUUCCCAACUGAACGCUAAACAGUUGUACAGUAUUCACACAAGACUGGUAGCAUUGGCUGUGUUGCUCUGGUCUUCAUGUAGCAAAUAACAUGGCUCAGUUCCAAUCUAAAUGUCAUGAAAAUAAAUUUACGUUUUUGCUUUUUUUUUUUUUUAUAAUAAACACUAUUGAAACAUUUAUUCUCAUUUUCUUAGCAGCUAGUUAUGAAAGAUCAAUGACAGUAUCCAGUGCCAGCCUGUCAUUCUGUGGUAUGCAGUAUUGAACACAAAGUUUGGAGUUGCCUAAGCUAAAUGAAGCAGUGUUUGCAUCAGCCUCCAAGUGGUGUGACUAGCUAGAAAGUUUUCUUUGCAAGGCAACCACUGGAGAACUAUAUCUAUGUUUGGUAUUUUCUCUCUCUCUCUCUCUCUCUCUCUCUCUCUCUCUCUCUCUCUCUCUCUCUCUCUCUCUCUCUCUCUCUCUCUCUCUCUCUCAACUUAAUUUUUGUAUAUUACUUGAUGCAUUUUAAUUUAUUUAUCUUUGAAGAAUUCCAGUAGCAUAUUUUUGUUCACAAUGUAUGGGAAGUUAAGUGUAAGCAACUCUAGAUGAUGAACCAAAAGCCUGAAGGAGCCACAUCUAAUUCAGAUGCUUCAGACACAGUGCUUUGCCCACUCACACAGAUUCUUUAUUUAAGUUUGUUCAUGGUUGUAAGUCGAGUAUAUGUCAAGAUAUGCACUCACUUUCACAGUCUUUAGUGUUUGCCCUCAGUCUUAAGUCCUCUGGACUGCUGACAGUCUUAUCAAACUCUGACAACACAUAAGUGAAUUUUCAGCAGAUCAGAAGACUAAAAGAUUUAGGGAAAAGAUAAAGCUGUGGAAAUUGAUGCAGAGUUUUAUGCAAAAGUUAUAUUAACAACCAGUACCAGUGUGAUGAGCAAAAAACUUCCCUGAAAUUGUCUUGUAGCAGUGAACAAGUGGCUGUACAGCAGGCAAACCUUCAGGGUGGUUGCGACAGGAUAGAAAAUUAUGCCAUUGCCACAAAACCAAAGAUGAUAGCCAUACAUAUUCUUUAUGAUUUCAGAUGUUAUUAAGAAUACCCUGUAAACCUUUAUUACUGCAGAUGAUCUGAAGUGUUUGCAAGUGCUUGGAGAUAUAAGAGGCCUAGAUAUUUGUAUGUCUUUUGGGAAUAUUAUCUCCUUGUGUUUUUAGGUAUCUGAAAAGAAAAUGAAGUUGAUAUAUGUGGUCCUCACAGUGAAGGUUGAGUCACUAUGAUGUCUUCUUUAUAUCUCAUGGAAAUUACCACUACUGAGUCAGCAGCAGCAGCAGCAGCAGCAGUGUUGACAAGAAAGGACUGAUGUGCUUGGUGUAAUGUGCAAUGUUCAUUACUUGAGCAGAGGAAAGGUUGAUCUAGAAAAAGAAUAGUGUGAAGUUUUUGUUCAUCAGUGAAUCUUUUGUUAAAUAAUAUAAUCACAGUAUAAAAAAAAUUAAAUGCUGGAAUAGAGAACUACAGUGUUGUUAGAUUCAAUACAGUAAACACCAUCAUCACUAGAGUGCACAUUACCUCACUGAGACUAAUGUUUGAGAAUUGUAAGUUGUGGAAACAUUUUAUUUAUAUUGCCAUUAGGUUCUACAUGAAAGCUUGCCAAACAACAUUAUGAUAUGUACUUUUGCUUUUAGGUGAGGAAUUCUAUUAUUUUGGAUAUUGUUUGAAAUUUUCUGUUUAAGAGAAGUUUUUUUCUCCCAAAGAUUUAGAACACAGCAUAUAAUGACAGGCACCUUUUUGUUUGCAGUAAUUUCCUUCCAUCAGCCACCCUAAUAUGUCUGAGCACAUCCAUAGGUAAUAGAAUAGCCAUCCAGAACAUGGUAACUCUUCUAACCGAGAUCUGUUGAGACAUAGCAGUUUAUACUGUUCUUUCGUUACUGACACACCGUAUAGGUAGCAUAGAUAAAAGAGCUAACUCCAAGUACACUCUCCAUAAAACUUAGGCUUUAAAGAAAUGGCCCUCAAGCAGGAAAUUGGAGUCUGUCUUUAAGAGUUCAUAUGUGAAGAAUGUAUUUAAAUUUAAAGUUUCUGCUUUGCUUCUUGGGGGCCAGAAUGUCUUGCUGUGUAGCCUUAACUCUACGCUCCGAGAGACUUCUGUAUGGUACUCACGCUGCUCUUGAAACUCGGUGGUCCGGCAAGAGUGCAACAAUGGUACAAGAAUGUUGAGACAUUUAGAACUUCUUGCUUACCAGGCUCUUGGUGUGUGUGUUUAGUUCCUCACACCUGUUCAUUCCAAUCCUCCAUAUAGCCUUAUUAAGACACAUAGCCAAAGCAUUCAUUUGUAUUUGUUUUCUUCAAGAAUGACAGCUGGUCGAUAAAGUGACAUUUUCCUGAAGUUUAUAUGGAAAUCUUUCCCUACCCCCCCCCCACCCACACCCAAAUGUGUACAGACUUGGUUUCUGAGGUUGAAUAAAAGUCCAUAGAGAUACAUUAUCCCAAUGUUAAUUUAUUUUCUUAGUCUAUAUGAAAUUAAGUAACGCUGGGUAUGAGAGAACUUUCAGAAAUGAUUGCUAUAGUGAAUUUCAAUAGUGUUUAUUAAAUGUAAAGUUUUGUACAUAUACAAAAUAACUUAUGAUCUUUUGUGAAUGUAUAUUUGUAAACAUGACACCAAAUAAAAGAAAUCAUUGCUA